rnacentral:ncRNA from 2 species
AGUGAACUCGCGGGAGCCCGGCGGAACCGGGCUGAGAGGGUGGCUGGGGGCCGCCGACCGUAGAACCUGAUCCGGGUCAUGCCGGCGAAGGGAGGAGCGGUAGUUCCAUG